GAAACCAGAACACCCUGAUAAAACCUGUUUUGCAGGACAAACUGCUGGGUCCCUAAGGGGGCUACAUUGCCAACUCAGCUACUACUUCACCUCUGAACCCUCCACUUCACUGUUCUCAUGAUCUCCCACUGAUCCCCAGAGGUCUGAUAUUGGCCCCUGCUUAAUAAAUUGCCUUAUGUCCUAUGUCCAACAGCAUCUAAAGGCAGUCAAACUUUUGACCUUCCAGUUUUACUACCCUUCCAUGCCCACCAAAGAUGAGUCAAGGGUUUGACUCACACACACAAGAAAAGGAGGAAUUGAAGUGAGGUAAACUAAGUCAUUGACCAGAAAACCUGCUUUUCCCUGGGGAAAGUAGAAAUCAGAAAUGAGCUUUCCUGGGAAAGUUAGUCAGCUCAGAACCAAAACAACAUAACAGCCAGGAUCCAUGAGAAAGUAACUCCCUUACUAACAAGCAGCCAGUCUAGGAUAAGAUAUGUAAUGGAAUGUCCUGUACUCCCAUGCUACUGAUGCAUAUAGCUUCUAGAUGAUAAGGUUUGCUUGCUCCAGCAAGGCUAUGUCUCAUUAAUGAACAUUGUUUGCUUAUAUCCUGUAAAAACUGCAUUAUAAUUUCAGUCCAGUGCAUUCAUUAGGAAGGUUUACCCUGGCCAGUAAUAAAUAAAUAUUGGUUCCAUGAAUUUGAACUUCUGGGUGUCCAGACUCGCAUUAUGAAGUGCACCACUUUAAGAGCCUACAAGAAAGCCCUGGAGUAUGACCAUGAAAAGUAUUCAAGAUAUGGAAGAUACAGGAAAGAGGAAAGCCAGAUACAGUUCAAGCUAAAGAAUUCCCCCAAAAGGUAAGGAAAGUUUCUACUUUGUCAUUUAACAUUUCUCUCAUACCAUGGAGAAGGGUAACCAUUAAUUCACACAGUCCAUUCAGUAUUCAUCACCAAAUGGCAUCAAGGCGUCCUAAUUCCAUCAUUCUUUGACCUAAGAUCAUAAGUGUAUUCCUAAUCCUUAGACAAUUCUCUUCCUUUCUCUGGGCCUCAGUUUCCUUAUGUAUUAAAUGAAUAGAUGGGACAAAGAUAAU
rnacentral:lncRNA from 1 species